rnacentral:misc_RNA from 1 species
GAUGAAGAACGUAGCGAAAUGCGAUACUUGGUGUGAAUUGCAGAAUCCCGUGAACCAUCGAGUCUUUGAACGCAAGUUGCGCCCGAAGCCAUUAGGCCGAGGGCACGCCUGCCUGGGCGUCACACGUCGUUGCCCCCCCAUCUACUCCUUCGGGAUUGCGGGGGGCGGAUGAUGGCCUCCCGUGCGCCUCGUCGCGCGGUUGGCAUAAAUGCCAAGUCCUCGGCGAUGCACGCCACGACAAUCGGUGGUUGCGAAACCUCGGUUGCCCGUCGUGUGCGGUCGUCGCGCAUCGAGGGCUCGAAAAAAUUGCCGGGCUCCGGCUCGGCUUUCAACGCGACCCCAGGUCAGGCGGGGUUACCCGCUGAAUUUAAGCAUAUCAAUAAGCGGAGGA